rnacentral:rRNA from 1 species
GAUGAACGCUGGCGGCGUGCCUAAUACAUGCAAGUCGAGCGAACAGACGAGGAGCUUGCUCCUCUGACGUUAGCGGCGGACGGGUGAGUAACACGUGGAUAACCUACCUAUAAGACUGGGAUAACUUCGGGAAACCGGAGCUAAUACCGGAUAAUAUAUUGAACCGCAUGGUUCAAUAGUGAAAGACGGUUUUGCUGUCACUUAUAGAUGGAUCCGCGCCGCAUUAGCUAGUUGGUAAGGUAACGGCUUACCAAGGCAACGAUGCGUAGCCGACCUGAGAGGGUGAUCGGCCACACUGGAACUGAGACGCGGUCCAGACACCUACGGGAGGCAGAAGUAGGGAAUCUUCCGCAAUGGGCGAAAGCCUGACGGAGCAACGCCGCGUGAGUGAUGAAGGUCUUCGGAUCGUAAAACUCUGUUAUUAGGGAAGAACAAAUGUGUAAGUAACUAUGCACGUCUUGACGGUACCUAAUCAGAAAGCCACGGCUAACUACGU